rnacentral:rRNA from 1 species
GAUCCUGGCUCAGGAUGAACGCUGGCGGCGUGCCUAAUACAUGCAAGUANAACGCUGAAGGAAGGAGCUUGCUCUUUCCGGAUGAGUUGCGAACGGGUGAGUAACGCGUAGGUAACCUGCCUGGUAGCGGGGGAUAACUAUUGGAAACGAUAGCUAAUACCGCAUAACAGUAGAUGUUGCAUGACAUUUACUUGAAAGGUGCAAUUGCACCACUACCAGAUGGACCUGCGUUG